GAAUAUGUGUGGUAUGCUCUGGGAAACUCACUAAGCAUUUUCGCUUACAGGUUGUUGAUUUGUUUCAGGUAUCUCUGAGCUUAAGGGUAAGGGCAAGGCGUGAUGACAUGACGCGCACUCUAUCUCUCCUUUGACAAGUUAUGGGACUCUCUGAUGUUUUUCUUAAAUAAAAUUAUUGAUGUAUUAACUUUCGAUUUGGAAACAAAUGAUUUGGGAUUUUAUGGUUAUGAUAUUGGUUUGACUAAUUAAAAAUGGAAAAAACUUCCUAGUAAAAUUGGGACGUUACAAGUUGGUAUCAGAGCCUUGGUUUGAGGGAUUUGGGUACAUCCUCGGGUGUGUCCGGACUCAAACUAAGGAGGCAAUAAAAUAUUUUCUAAAGUAACCAAAAGAAAAUUAUAAAGGAAGCCCAAGGGAUAAGAGUGUGACGCGCAUGAUCAGCCGAGUCAAGUAAGUAUCCUAAUCUAAAAUAGUCAAGCUAUGUUGAUAUUUGAGUCUUGUCGUUUAUAUGGAACUUGCUAUGUGUAUGUUCUAAAACUUAUAUACAGCUAGGAGCUUAUAGCCUCAGAAUGAUUGGUUUGGCCUUAUUUUCUUGUCCUUGUCUGGAUGUGGACUUAUGGUAGAAUCUUUUAUUCAAAAGUCAAUUUGAUCCUUUCUGUGUAUAAAUUACAUGCAUAAGAGUAACCGGUUGUGAUGGGUUUGAUUGUCAUGGGUGUGCCAAAUCAUGUAACAACCCAAAAAUUGGUUUCGAAUCUUAGUUGGGGGAUUUUGGUAUUGUAUUGGGUCAUAUUGGAGUCAGUAGGUUAAGAUGUUGGUGGAAGCUAUAGGUAGGUGUGGAAGGUAGUAUUGGGCCCGUACUACUGGAAGCACAAGACCUGAACCCACAACCACGUCUUUCCUAGGGGCUCCAAAAAGGAAAAGGAAAUAGAGUGUAAGAACCCACAUUAUGGGUAUCCUGAUCAUUAUGUUUUGAUAUUUCAGUGUAGCAUGGUGACAACACGAUUUGGAGCUGGGGGAUCAGGAUUAGGAUCGGGAUCAGGAUCUGGGUCCGGGGCUGGGUCAGGCGGCCCUACUGAUGAUAUUGAUGAGAGGCUGCAUGAGUUGAUAGCGACGGAGGUUACGAAGGGCAUCCUUGACCUCCCCAGUCAUCUUUGGGACGGUCAAGGAGGGCAUGAUGGAGAUCAUGGAGUAGAGACUCAGAUCAUUCAGAGCUGAGAUUACUGUGAGGCAGAUUAGGGCCCAAACUCCCUCGUUUCGGGAGUUCAAGGCUUGUGGAGCUCCAGAGUUCUCGGGGGUCAGGGACCCCAUUGAGAGCAGGCACUGGAUAACGGACAUUGAGAAUGCCUAGCGCACGAGUUCUUUCCCGGAGGAGGCAAAGGUUGGAUUUGCUUCCUGUAUGUUGAGGGACAGGGCCCGCGAUUGGUGGGGCGAGGUUACUAGCCAGGUGGGAGGAGCCGGUGUGGCUGAGAUGACAUGGGUUGAGUUUGUUCGAUGUUUCGAUACAGAAUUUGCACCACCUAUUGAGGUGCAACGGUUGGUGAGGGAGUUUCAUGACCUUCAACAGACUACCGAGACUGUGGCGGAAAUCACCGCCAAGUUUUGGGAAUGAGCGUUGUUGAUUCCGCAAUAUGCUACUGAUGAGGAGAUGCGGAGGACGAGAUAUGAUUCUAUGUUGAGGGAUGAUAUCCGAGAGUUUGUAAGCUUUACAGGGUGCAAAACCCUGGACGAGAUGGUGGAGAAGGCUCGAGAGAGGGAGAUGGAGUUGGAGUCCCGCACGAAGCGGAAGACUGAGCAGGUACACGCAGCAGGGGUUUAGGCUAAGAAGCCUAAGCCCUCUGAUUCUUUGAGCAAGGGACAACAGGGUCGGGUCUUGUGCCCCAAGUGCGGGAGGUUUCAUAGCGGAGCUUGUCGGACGGCCAGAGUAUCAGGAUGUUACUCUUGCGGCCAGUAGGGCCAAAUGAGUAAGGAUUGCCCCAAGAAGGGCUUGAUAUGUUUUCACUGCAACCAGACAGGCCAUAAGAAGGCCGAGUGCCCGAGGUUGCAGGGAGUAGGAGGAGGAUCAGUGGCGGCGCCCACACCCGCCACUAUGAGGAUUACUGACGGCCGCCCUGUUAAGGCGGAAGCUCCAGCGGCGAAAAGUCGCGCUUUCCAGCUAACUACCGAGGAGGCUCUGGCAGCACCGGACGUUGUAGCUAGUAUGUGUCUGUUAUUCACUAUCUUGUAUUGUUAAAUGUUUAAAUGUAUGUAUUAUGUUUUGUAGUGACCUAUUUGGUCAAUGGUAUGUCAGCUCAUGUUUUAUUUGACUCGGGUGCUACCCGAUCGUUCGUGUCUUUUGCGCUUAGCAAGAUGUUCUGAGACGCUCCGGCGACCAUGGAUACCCCGCUAGAGGUGGAGAUUGUAGAUGAUCGCAAUAUAAGUGAUGCGAUGGUGUAUUAGGACUGCGUUCUGAAUGUACAAGGCGAGAGCUUUCGCGUUGAUUUAGUUCCCAUACCAUUGCGAGGGUUGAAAGUAAUUAUUUGGAUGGACUGGUUGGGGGCCCGUGGGGCCAUGAUCAAUUGCGAGCGCUAAUUGGUUAGGGUUCGAACCUCAAGUGGGGGAGAACUGGUAAUCCAUGGUGAGACAACCUCGCAGGGACCGACCCUCUGUUCAGCUGCGAGGGCUAGGAGGUUUUUACAGCAGGGUUGCGAAGGAUUUCUAGCAUAUCUCUCGAACACGAGAAUGGAGACUGCAACAGAUGUGGGCAGUGUGCCAAUUGUAUAGGAUUUCCAGGAUGUGUUCCUUGUAGAACUGCCAGGGUUACCUCCGGAGAGGUAGGUGGAGUUUCACAUUGAUUUAGUGUCGGGUGCCGCUCCGAUAGUGAAGGCACCAUAUCAGUUGGCACCGCCGGAGAUGCAGGAGUUGUCUAGGCAACUUCAAGAACUGCUAGACCAAGGGUUCAUUCGUCCGAGUAGUUCCCCGUGGGACUAUUUGUGAAAAAGAAAGAUGGAUCUCACAAGAUGUGCAUCGAUUAUAGGGAACUGAACAAGCUAACGGUGAAGAACCGUUAUCCGUUACCAAGGAUCGAUGAUUUGUUUGACCAGCUCCAGGGUGCAUCAUGGUUUUCCAAGAUUGAUCUCCGGUCAGGGUAUUAUCAAAUGAGGAUUCGGGAUGAGGACAUACCAAAGACGGCUUUUAGGACUCGAUAUGGGCACUAUGAGUUCGUGGUGAUGCCGUUUGGGCUCACCAAUGCCCCAGUUGCAUUCAUGGAUCUCAUGAACCGAGUGUGCAGGCCGAUGCUUGAUCGGUCAGUGAUCGUAUUUAUUGAUGAUAUCUUGUUUUAUUCUAAGACCCGGGAGCAGCACGAGCAGCAUCUGAGGGAAGUAUUGGAGACUCUGAGGGCAGAUAAAUUUUAUGCGAAGUUCUCCAAGUGCAAUUUUUGGCUGCAAGAGGUGCACUUUUUGGGGCAUGUCAUUAAUCAGGAGGGUAUUUCAGUUGAUCCAGCUAAGGUAGAGACUGUGAUGUGGUGGGCGGUACCAAGAAAUGCUUCGGAGAUUCGUAGCUUUUUGGGUUUAGCAGGAUACUAUAGGAGAUUUAUCCAGGACUUCUCGAAGAUUGUUGUGCCAUUGACCCGCUUAACAAAAAGGAAUUUGAUGUUUCGAUGGGGUGAGGAUCAGCAAAUAGCUUGUGAAACCCUGCAUCGGAUGUUAGGCGAGGCUUCGACUCUAGUGCCACUCGAGGGGAUGGAUGAUUUGGUGGUGUACUGUGACGCCUCAACUUCGGGUUUGGGGGCGGUAUUGAUGCAGAGGGGGCAUGUAAUUGCGUACGCCUUGAGGCAGUUGAAUCCUCACGAGGAGAAUUACCCCACUUAUGAUUUGGAAUUGGGAACAAUGGUGUUUGCCCUUAAGAUUUGGAGACACUAUUUAUAUGGAGUGCGGAUCGCUAUUUACACCGAUCACCAAAGUUUGAAGUAUUUGAUGGACCAGCAGAACCUCAACAUGCGUCAUAGGAGAUGGCUGGAUAUGUUAAAGGAUUAUGAUUGUGAGAUUCUGUACCACCCAGGGAAGGCCAACGUGGUGGCCAACGCACUGAGCCGUAAGGCGGGGGAGUCCCCAAUUAGGGGCAUUCGUAUGAGGAUGACAGUGGUUUUUCCUUUGUUGGAUAUGAUCAAGGAAGCCCAGGUCAAAGGGGCAAAGAAGGAGAAUUGGAAGGGAGAGAAGAUUCGAGUGCAACACCCCUUGUUCACCAAGGAUGGAUGCGGUCUUUCGACUCAGUGUGGCCACAUGUGGAUGCCAAUGGCAGGGGGAGUGAGGCAGAGGUUAUUAGAGGAGGUGCAUAAGUCCAAGUUUUCUGUACACCCUGGUGCAACAAAAAUGCAUAGAGACUUGAGGAUGAAUUAUUGGUGGCCUUGCAUGAAGCGGGAGAUCGCCUGGUUUGUGGAGCAGUGCUUGACCUGUAGGAGGGUCAAGGUCGAGCAUCAGCGGCCUCAUGGCAAAGUUCAGCCGCUACCCAUUCCCAUGUAGAAGUGGGAGGAAAUCACCAUGGAUUUCAUUACGAAGUUGCCCAAGACGUCGAGGGGAGUAGAUGCUAUAUGGGUGAUCGUAGACAGAUUACCAAGAGUGCCCAUUUUAUUCUUAUUUUCGAGAGCAUGUCUGCGGAAAGGUUAGCGGACGUGUAUGUGCGUAAGGUGGUAGCUAGGCAUGGGGUGCCAAUGUCGGUGGUUUCGGAUAGAGAUGUUCGGUUUACAUCCAGGUUUUGGAAGAAGUUCCAUGAGGAACUUGGUAAUCAGCUACAUUUUAGUAUAACAUAUCACCCUCAGACCGACGGUCAAAGCGAGAGGAUGAUCCAGACAUUGGAGGACAUGCCGCAAGCAUGCGUACUAGACUUUGGGGGAGGUUGGGAUACGUACCUCCCACUAGCAGAGUUCUCCUACAAUAACAAUUAUCAUGCCAGUAUCGAUCGAGCUCCAUUCGAGUUGUUAUAUGGUCGGAGGUGCAGAACCCUAGUGUGCUGGGACGAGUUCGGUCAUCGGGUGAUGGGGAGCACUGAGGUGGUUCUAAAGACCACUGGAUUGAUUCAGCAGGUGAGGGACAUGUUGAGUUGCACAGAGCCGUCAGAAAAGUUAUGCUGACCGGCGGCGUUCGGACCUCAAGUUUCAGAUAGGGGAUCUCGUGCUACUAAAAGUAUCACCAUGGAAACGGAUUAUCAGAUUUCGAAAAAGGGGCAAGUUGGGGCCUCGGUUCAUAGGUCCAUUUUGGAUCGUAGCCCGAGUCGGCAAGGUGGCAUAUCGUUUGGAAUUACCUAAGGAGCUUAGUCAGAUCCACAACACCUUUCAUGUGUCGCAACUUCGAAAGUGUGUUGCCGAUGAGUCCUUAGUCAUUACCCUAGAUGACAUUCAGGUUGAUGGGAGCCUGAAUUAUGUGGAGAGGCCAGUCGUCAUAUUAGACCGAAAAACAAAGGGCCUUCGAAACAAGGAAGUGGAAUUGGUGAAGGUCCAAUGGAUGCACCAGAAGGGUUCUGAAUGUACGUGGGAGCCAAAGAAGGAGAUGAGGGAGCAUUACCCCGAUUUAUUUGUAGCUACAGACUUCGAGGACGAAGUCUAAUUCAAGUGGGGAAGAGUUGUAUCAGCCCGAUCAGGUAUGACUAUAUAUAUGUAUAUAUAUAUAUAUAUAUAUAUAUAUAUAUAUAUGUGUGUGUGUGUGUGUGUGUGUGUCNAGCUUUUGAAAUAUUUCAAUUGGACUUAUAAGACCCUUAGAACCUUUUAGCAUUAGGAUCUUCUGGUAUGCUAUUUAGUGGAUUAUUAUAUUGAAGGGACUCGACGAGUUGGUGCCCUAAGUCGUCGAGGAGAGUCGCGUGCCUUGGCACGUUUAUUGCUUGGACUCGUCGAGUCGGGUAUCUGACUCAACGAGUCAGAGAUGGCAAGGGAAACCCUAAUUUCCCGCGUUUAAAAGCUAUUUAAAGGCCCUUAAGGCUCUCAUUUGCAUCCACCCCUGUCCUUAAGAAACCCUAAUCAGAUCAGUGAGUUUGGAUUGAGAGAGAAGGCUCAUUUCCUUCAUUGUGGUGCAUCUCUUCAAGGAGGAAGGAGAGAUUUCGAGCUAGGCUAUCUUAGAGGACCCAAAUCUUCCCUCAUUUCAUCCAGAGUCGAUCCAAGAGGUAUGGAUUCGCACCUAUUUCCAUUGUUUAAUAGAUUUCAUGAACUAGGGUUUCUUCCUUGCAUUAUUAAGUGAGAUCUAGUGUAUAUUAGGUCCUUUUCGGUGUCAAUGAUAUUAGAUCUGGACCUUGAGAGGUCCGGGGAGUCCUUAUCCUUCAUCUUUAUGCAAUCCUAUGAAGGUUUUUAGCCUAGGUUUCCAUUUAGGUGUCCAUUUCUUCAUUUAUGGCCACAUAUGCGAUGCAUGGACGUAAAGUUUGAACCUUUACGUGACUUUUGAAUGCUAGAAGGUUAGAUCUACAAGUUAGCAAAGCAGAUCUGAACUCAAAAGUUCGAAUGAGUAUGAUCAUAGAAGAAACUCGCCGAGUCCAUGCUCAGACUCGACGAGUCAAGUGGGGUUGCCAACAGUUAGGGUCCGGUGGUGACCCGAGAAGUUUAAGGGUUGACUCAGUGAGUCAAUCAAGACUUUAGAAGGAGGUGAAGGGCACGAGUGGACUCGCCGAGUCGUCGAGUGUACUCGACGAGUCUAGUCAGAUUUGGACCAUUGAGUUUUAGGAUUUAGUCAUCAAGUGACUCAUUGGACCAAUGGAGGGGUAGAACGGUCUUUUACCAUUCUAGAGUUUAUAAUAAGAGACUGAUUUAGCCUUUGUGGGCAAUUAUUAACUUAGAAUAAUUUAAUUAUGUGAUCAGGCGGGCAUUAGAUCGGUAUCUAGAGUUUAAGACUCUUUGAGAUUUCCCAAGGUGAGUCUUCUCACCAUACCUAUGGGUUUACGACACCAAGGCUGGCCCAUUAUGAAACCCUGUUAUGGUUGUUAUUCAGUGAAAAAUUGUUGUGCUUUGUGGUAUUUUGUUGAUAUGGAGGACCCGGGGUAAAACUCGUGGUAUUGGAUAUAAGACCAUGAGGGGUAGCCCAUAACUUUCCUAAGAAAAGACCAUGUAGGGUAGCCCAUGGCAUUGGAUGUAAGACCAUGUGGGGUAGCCCAUGUCGAUCCUAGGUAAAGACCAUGUGGGGUAGCCCAUGGCAUACUUGCUUAAUCUUAUUAUAUAGUAACUGGGGUAUGUCGAUACUUAUUUUUAACUAUCAGGAUAUGUAUUGUGAAUGUGUGUGGUAUGCUCUGAGAAACUCACUAAGCAUUUUUGCUUACAGGUUGUUGAUUUGUUUCAGGUACCUCUGAGCUUAAGGGUAAGGGCAAGGCGUGAUGACAUGACGCGCACUCUAUCUCUCCUUUGACAAGUUAUGGGACUCUCUGAUGUUUUUCUUAAAUAAAAUUAUUGAUGUAUUAACUUUCGAUUUGGAAACAAAUGAUUUGGGAUUUUAUGGUUAUGAUAUUGGUUUGACUAAUUAAAAAUGAAAAAAAAUUCCUGGUAAAAUUGGGACGUUAGAAUUUUAUUCUCCCAGU
rnacentral:lncRNA from 1 species